rnacentral:rRNA from 1 species
UUGACGGACCCGCACAGCAGCGGAGCGUGUGGUUUAAUUCGAUGCUACACGAACAACCUUACCAGGGUUUGACAUGCUGGUGGUAGGGAUCCGAAAGGUGACCGACCCUCGGGGAGCCAGCACAGGUGCUGCAUGGCUGUCGUCAGCUCGUGUCGUGAGAUGUUCGGUUAAGUCCGCUAACGAGCGCAACCCUUGCUGUGUGUUACAUGUGUCACACGGGACUGCCGGUCUUAAACCGGAGGAAGGUGGGAUGACGUCAAGUCAGCAUGGCCUUUAUGUCCUGGGCUACACACACGCUACAAUGGCCGGUACAAUAGGUUGCGAAGCCGCGAGGCGGAGCCAAUCCUCAAAACCGGCCUCAGUUCAGAUUGCAGGCUGCAACCCGCCUGCAUGAAGAUGGAGUUGCUAGUAACCGCAGGUCAGCUAUACUGCGGUGAAUACGUUCCCGGGGCUU